UACAGAGGGGGCAAGCGUUAUUCGGAAUUAUUGGGCGUAAAGGGCGCGUAGGCGGUUUUUUAAGUGAGAUGUGCAAUCCCCGAGCUUAACUUGGGAACUGCAUCUCAGACUGGAAGGCUAGAGUGCUGGAGAGGGUGGUAGAAUUCCACGUGUAGCGGUGAAAUGCGUAGAGAUGUGGAGGAAUACCAGUGGCGAAGGCGGCCACCUGGACAGUAACUGACGCUGAGGUGCGAAAGUGUGGGUAGCAAACAGG
rnacentral:rRNA from 1 species